rnacentral:lncRNA from 1 species
AUAAGUAAUAAUUGAAGGUAAAAUAUAAAGAUAAAAUAAAAAUAGCAAUUCGAAUGGGGAGUUUACUAAGGUUAACGAAGUUUAAAAAAUUUAAUACAACAAAUAGUCAAAUAUGAAUUAUACAAAAUAAAUAAAGAAAAGAAGUUUGGGCCUCUUAUCUAGCCCAUUUUUUGAGAGCUGUUCAAAUUUGAACUUGGGCUUUUAAUUCAUUUUCCAGCAAUGUAUAUCAGAUGUAUACUACAGCCUUUUCUUCUAAGUUUUGGCUGUAUACACACUGUAUAUCAGCUUGGGCCUUUACAUACCAGCUUCCUUAGCUCGAUUAUUGCUCCCUUGUAUCUGUAUAUCAGCUUCCAAGACCUGAAUAUAGUGUAUAUAUAUUGUAUAUCUUUGUAUACACACUUGAUUCUCUUGAGUUUUUGUCCAUUUUUGAUACUUUAUGUUGACUCGGAAAUUAGGCUUCCUUAGCCCGAGGAAUAUAAGGGAAAUUAGCCUGUUGGGGCCCAAAGCAACAUCACAUGCACCAAGAAAGAGACCCGAAUUAAUAUUUAUUCAUGAAAGAUGAUCAAAGUAAACAAAAUGGGUGCACAGACUAUAACCUCAAGAAAGAUAGAGACGAUUCUUACUAGCAAAUCACAAAAAAUAUUAAAGCAUUUCACUUUAAAUAUCAUCAAGUGAAAUUGCUGGUCACUCCAUCCAUAGGAAAAACCAUGCUAAAAUUUAACAAGCAAGGAACAUAAUCAGACAAGGCACAACUUUUUUAAAAAAAAGAAACAUACACAUCACCUUUUUGAAUCUACCUAGAUUUAUUACUCUAACCCAAAGACAAAAAAAUUGUGUCCAUUACAUGACUCUUAAAGCUAAAGAUCAACAGGUUUAGCCAAAUAGUUUGUGCUCUUUAUACAGAACACGUUUAAUCAAACAAAACGAGAAAGAAAACAAUCAGUUUGGCAUUAGACUGCACCACGCUCAGGCAAAUAGUAACAAGAAGGACUUCAAAUGACCAAACAAGGACAGAUUCCGGAGGUUCAUAGAUAAAUUAUGAUCAAAAGCCCUAAAUAAGCCGAAGGCCAAAUUUAACCAAAAAUAAAAAAUGUGACACUUACAAUCUUAUGAAACUGUGUUAAUGAACAUGAGCAUUUCUGAGUUUAUCAACCACCAAAGAGAUGGGUAACUCAUUUAAUAUAAGGCCAUUUAGACUUCGAGGACACCUAUAAUCGUUUACAUGAAUAAAGGCUCGGUAGCUAUGAUCUCGCGAAACUAGUUUUAGACCAAAAACCAACAUAUGAGAAGAAAAGAAAACACAAAAUGAUUUCAGGAGUAAAUCUGCAAACCAUAUUGAUUUAUCUACAUCAAAUAAAUCGGGACCAAAAAUUCAUUCCAAUGCUAAUUAUAUAUAAAGGAAAUCAUAAAUAGUAAAACACAACGUGACCUAAAUUUUAUUGUAGUAACAAAAUUCAUGAAUUGAUUCGAUUACUACAGGAUAACAAAGAAAAUCACACAAUUUUUGUCAUAUGAAACCUAUGGAUUUUCAAGCUCUCUACAACAAAUAAUCCCACCAUAACUAUGAUUACAAUUAUAGAGCUACCAAUACGACGGAGACGAACAACGAACUAAAAGGGCAAGUUGCAUUUCCCCUUUUUAGGGAAACAAAUCGGACUUACGAGCUUCACCGAAAGAUUCUUGCCACCAUCGGAAUGAACUUGAAUUCUUAUCCUAGAAAUUCAAGCUCAAACGAGUCUUAUCGAAUUUUUUGGCACCGAAACCCUUCUUCGAAUAGCAAAAUCUCACGCUUUUUAGGUCCCUGCUAUCCGGCAUCUCCAACCUCUUAAAUAAUGCAUUGAAUGAGUAUUUAUAGGUAUUUUCAGAAUGGGAUUUCACCAAUUUGAGCGAUGUGGGAUGGGAAUAUUUGAGGGGCGUUUUGCGAUUUUGAAUAGGGACAUUUGAAUUUGAACUUGGGGAUAGGAUUUGUUGAGCUGAAAAUCGUACUAUUUAGUACGGAUUGGAAUCGUUGUUGUUGCGUCUGUUUGUUGGAAUCUAACGGGUUGCUGCACGGGUAUGGGGUUGGUUUGCAAUUGUUAACCAUUAGGGUUGAUAUCAGGUCAGAUUGACAUCGGUUGACUGGUUUGAUGAGUUUUUACACGACUGGAGUUGGUGUCGGGUUGCCAUUGGCUGACAUGUGAUUGUUGUUGGUGUUGAUACUAUUGCUGACUGGUGUACAUGUUGUUUAUGUGUAUUGUACGCUAGAUUGAGUUUUUUUGCCAUUGUUUAGAGCUGUAAUGUAGAAGAAAGAGCAAAGGUGGGUUUGGUUAUUUUUUUCGUUUUUAGUUUUGGGAUGGUGUAUACAGAAUUAGAAGGGGUUGGGUUGUUGGAUAGAAUUCGGAUUUGGGGUUAUUUAAAA